CACCCAAAUGCCUGUUUUCUGCUCCCCCUGGGAGGUGACUGUAAGUGUUAGGGAGGGGUCAGCUCAAAGGUCCCAAGGCCUGGGGAGGACAAGUUAUGGUUCAAGCGAACACCGAACAUCUCCCAAUAAGCCCUGUCCGCUCAGGCUGGGCAGACGGCGAGGAGGGAGCCAGCCUGGUCCCUGGGGGAGUCUGCACCUAUGUAUCUGUUCUCCUCAUGUAAACUAGGAGACCCCUGUCUACUGUCGGGACUGGACAAGCCCUGGAACAGAGUGUUUCCUUUAGCUUCCAGAUUCAGUGUCCACAUCAUUGACUCCAGGAAAAUCUGUUCAUCUGAGUCUACACGUGCAGGCAGCGAACAGACGUCCAAAUCCCAAUGUUUCUUUGUUGAGCACGGGCUCACGCUGUAGCGGAACCCUCGGCGUAUGGGGUAGUGCCACGGGGAAGCCAUCUUACAGGAAGAGAAAGACAAGAUGGGUGGAGGAAGCCGCUAGGAAAGCUCCUCUCUAUGGCUCAGUGUUCUGUAGAAGAUGGAAGUAAAAUGGGUGCAUGUGGACUCUGCCGUUAGCCUGCCUGGGACUUUGUGACCGUCCGUCACCGUGGCGACUGUGACAGCCUCUGAGGCCAGUUAGGCCACAAGAACACAGCGGUCUCUCCAGCUCCCGCGCACCUUCAGAUGCACUCAUUCACGCAGCAAAGUGGACGUGCCUGCCCAGACAGCCGGAGUGAAGAUAGUUACUGGGCCCGAGGGAGAAAAGCCCCACCAUCUCUGGGACAUUGUCGCAGGCCUGUGGGAAUGUAAGUUAUUAAAUGGAAGCAGCCCCGUCCUCACUGUGACUCAGAUAGGUAGCACGAUGUGUGCCCCAGCUCGUCCCGGGGCCGCGUCUUCAGUGUGAGCAACGCCAAGGCCUUAGCGACCUAUUCCUGAGCCCUGUGGCUGUAGGGGCAAGGGGGGCCCAGCGGAUCCGGCCAGCUCAGCGCUGCAAGCAGGCCCAUUCCCAGCCGCCCGCUGUUUGUGAAGCAGCCCCGUAGAGAGAGCGCAGGGGAAAAACAGUCCUCUUAUCUGAGCAGAGGGCAUUCACCAGUUGCCAGAGUGAUCUGGUCUGAGUGCUUGGCGGCAGGUGGCCGGAGGAGGAAUCAUGAUGCGAACUGGGAGGUCGGAGUGGACACGGAACAGCGAUUAACGGUCGCUAUUCCUUUGUCAGGCUCUCUCUUGGUCGGCGGGGGGCUCUCAACUUGAGCUUGCUUGGCAGCGUAGGGUUAGGGAUUCCAGACACUGAGCUUCCGCAGUGGGAAAGUCCGCCCCCGCUCACGGGGAGCGCUUCCAUUUACAAGGCCGAUGCUCUGGUUUUAUUUCAAUUUUCUGCAACAUGAAAAACACUGCACAUGGGAAAGAAAACGCUUCAUCAUUAUGUAUUUGCCCACUAAUGACGCAUGCUGGUAAUGCAAUCUGGUUGAAGCAACAGAAACAUUAAAGAAAGAACUGUCCAUAAUUAUGUAUGUGCAUGUAGAUAUGUAUCUAUAAAUAGAUAAUAGCUUAGAUCUCUCUCUCUCUCUCUCUCUCUCUCUCUCUCUAUCGAUCGAUCAAUGUAUCUAUAUACCCAAAAGCAGCUGCAUGUUUUACAGAUUAAGUAUCCAACUGGUCAAGGGCAGUUAAGCUUAAUUAAUGUGAACUUAGCCCCUUAAGUUAAUGACCUCUCCUCUGGAGCUGAGUGGGGACCGGGAAAGGAAGCUGUUUAAUAGCUAACUUGAUGGCUAAUGCUUUCUUACUGUACCAUUUUCUAGAUUGUUUUCAUACUAACAAUGAAGUAUUGUUUUGAUUUCUUUCUUAAUCAAGAGUUAACACAUUUUCUUGUUUUGUUUUGUUUUGUAGAACUAAACAAGUCAUUCAUAUAGCUUUUCCUGGAGAUUUGAGUUUUUUGUUUCUUUUCGUUUUUUGUUUGUUAGCUUAGCAGUAAACAUUUGGCUUAGCAUUUUUUCUUUGGCCUGUAACCCCAAAAGGAAACACAUUCCUGUUGGAUUACCUACACUUUGAUUUUGGUGAAUACUAUUUCAGCUAAGGUGAGGGAAAAGUCUGUAAAGAGGUCAGUGAAAGCCCAGGUUCCCUGGCCCCCAAGGCUGUUUUUAGUAAUAAGAGUAGAGCUUACAGAUCUGGCUUCUGCACUUAACAUCUGACAGAAUUAAGAAUCUUCUUUAGGUGCCUAAUAGCCUGUCAGGGAGGGACCUUAAAUCUCAGAAUUUUAGGCAUUUAAAUGUAUUUAUUGAUUUAAAUUCAGUUGUGGGAAAACGAAGGGAGAAUUCUCUUUAGAAUCAUGCGACCACCAAUAAUAAAUAUUUUUUAUAACACUUUACUGAGGUAAAUUUAUUUAUUUAUUUAAAACUUUUUUUAAUGUUUUAUUUAUAUUUGAGAGAGAGACAGAGCAUGAGUAGGGAAGGGGCAGAGAGAGACGGAGACAGAAUCUGAAGUAGGCUCCAGGCUCUGAACUGUCAGCACAGAGCCUGAUGUGGGGCUUGAACUCAUGAACCACCAGAUCGUGACCUGAGCCAAAGUCAGACGCUUAACUGACUGAGCCACCCAGGCACCCCUACUGAGGAAUUGUCACAGAAAUUGCAUUGGACCCACAGAUCAACUCAGGCAGACUUGACAUCCUAAUAAUAUUGAGUGUGUCUAUUCCCAAAUGAGCCUCUGGCAACCACAUUUCUACUUUCUGGCUCUAAGAAUGUGACCACUCCUGGUGCCUCAGGUAAGUAGAAUCAUACAGUAUUUAUCCCUUUGUGUGUGUUUCAUUUCACUUAGCCUGAUGUCUUCAAUGUCCAUCCGUGUUGUAGCAGGGGUGAGAAUUGCACCCCUUGCUAAGGCUGAAAAACAUUCCAUUGUACGUGUAUUUCACACCUUGUUUAUGUACUCAUCUGUCAAUGGAAAUUUAGCUUGUUUCCGUCUUUUGUCGAUUGUGGAUGAUGCCCCGUGGACUUUGGUGUUGAGUAUCUGUUUGAGUCCCCGUGUUCAAUUCUUUUGUUUAGAUUACUGGAUCGUAUGGUAAUUCUAUGUUUAACCUUUUUGGGGAUGUAAAUGGCAUUUUAGACUUUUAUUUUUUCCAUUGUUUUUAUUGUCAUUUAGAAGUAACAUGGAUUUUGGGGGUGUUGACUUUAUACCCCACCACCUUGCUAAGUUCACUCACCGGUGCUAACCUAUUGUAGAUUCCUUUGGAUUUUCGACGUGGACAAUCACGUCAUCUUUGACUAAAAACAGUUUAGCUUUGUCUUUGCUAAUGUGUAUGCUUUUUAAUUUUUUCCCUUAUUUCACUAGCUAGGACCUCCGGGGCAAUGUUGAGCCAAAAUGGUGAGAGUGGAUAUUCUUGCACGCUUAAUCGUAGGGGAAAGGAAUUCACUAUUUCACUACUGUUAUGUCAGCUACAGAACUCCUUUGUCGGAUUGAAGGAGUUCCCUUUAUAUUCCCAGUUUGCUAAGGAUUUUUAUUUUUUAUUAUAUUGUCUUUCUUAAAUGUUUACUGAUUUAUUUAUUUUGAGAGAGAGAGAUGGAGAAUGCAAGCAGGAGAGGGGCAGAGAGAGAGGGGAGAGAGAGAGAAUCGUGCCCUCAGCGCGGAGCCCAACUCCGGGAUCAAUCUCAUGAAAGUUCGCGCUAUUCUUAGAAACAGUUGAGCCGGUGGUGGAGUCUCAAGGCUCUGGAAUCUUUUCUUUCGUGUGGCGACAAGUUCUUUUUCCUGGGAAGGCUCAGUGGUGCUUUUCUUGGGCUCAGCAGUGCGGCUGAUGCGGCCUGGACUGUGUAGACAAGAGGCGCGGGGAGGACACACACGACCCUUUGGAACUGACGCUGGACGGGCGUCGAGGACGGGCCAUCCUUGGGCAGCUACUCUAGAGCUCCUAAAGUGGUGUUUGUUCAACUACCCUGAACUUUUGUGGAAGGCCAGAUGCGGGCACUGCGAUAAAAGUGCUGAAGUAGAGUGAUAAAACUUGUAAUUUAAAAAUUCUUUUUACCAGGCCAUGUUGCUAAGGUUGUGUUUUGGUAAAAUAAACUGCUUUUCCUAGGGUCGUAUGGAAUGAAAGCUUCAUUCAUCCGGAUUUGGUUGAGCACUUACUGUGUGCGACCCAAGGUUAUUUAGCGUGUGGUUUUUGUUUUCAAGAAGAAAUAAGACACGCGCAUGAAUUUCUAGCAUAAAAAUAACCAGGGAACACUAUUACCCAAAGGCCGUUUGCAUGUUGAGCUAGGAACUUUUCAAAAUGAUUCAACGUGAAGCAAUGUUUGCUUCUGGAGAUGUUUGGAGUUCUCUCUAAUAAAAAUCAAAAAUUAAGUAAAAGUUAACAAAUUAAAAAAAAAUUGAACAGGAAAAAACCCCUGUGGAGUGCAGCCUAACUGGGACUUUAAAUGAAUAUUUAUAACCUUUGUUGCAUCCAUUAGAAAAUGAGAAAGACUAAAACUCAUGAGCUAAGUGCUCUACAGAAUACGGUAAAAAAAAAAAAAAAAAUUAAAAAGCAAGCAGAAAGAAUGCAGAAGGAAGGAAAUCAUAAAGAUAAGGUUAGCAAUUAAUGAGCUAGAAAACAAAGUAAUAACACAGAAAAUCAACUAAACUAAAAACUAGUUCCUUGAAAAGAGUGAUAAACACUUCUGGUGAAAAUGACCCAAGACAGGAGGAGGCAUGAAAGAGACAUGACGUAGCUACAGAUGGAGAUUUAAGAACCUAUCUGAGAAUAAAUAUUGUGGAUGAGUUCCUGACAAUAUGUUGGGAAACUUCCGGGGAAAUUGGACAAUUUCCUAGGGAAAUGUCAAUUACAAAAAUGUAACGAAACCAAAAAGACUGAAUAUACCACAAAAGAAGUGAAUCAAGUUAAUCAUCUGUGGCUUUCCCCUGGCCCCGUCCCCUCUUUAGAAAACAAGCCAGACACAGCCAAGAUUACAAAAUCUUCAAAGAACAGAUAAGCACUACUUUGUAUAAAUGUUUCUGAAGAAUGGAACCAGAACAACUCCCCACAGCACUUUAUAUGUAUGAUCUUGAUAACAACACUGAGCAAGGGAGAUAAAACAAAGUGAAAUCAUUGGCCACAUACGAACAUGAAUGUAAUGAUCUGAAAUAAAAUGUUAGCAAACUAAAUCUAUCAAAAUAUUAAAAAUUUUUUUUUUUUUUUUUGUCCAACGGGUAUUUAGUCCUAGUGGUGCAGGUGAUCUUAUAAUUUACCUCAUUACAACAGAAAACGAACUGGAACAAAGAUUCAGUUAGAGGUAACAUUUCUUAGAACCAGUGGUCGAGUCCAUUGGUAAUUUUUUUCUCUAUUUUUUUUCCCCGAAUUGUUGAAAAUGACACAACUAAACCUUUUUAAUUUCAGAAAACAAAGAGAAAAGGCAAAAUCCAAAAUUUAAAUACAUGAUGACUGGCAGUGCUCUAUGAAUCUUUUCCAUAUUCGUUGGCUUCUGCCCUAGAAAAUGUUCACUUGAUAAUUUACUUUGCUUGUAAGACUAAAGAAACUGAAGGGAACGUCUUCGUGGCUUUGGUGGUUCAUAAAAUGUGUGAUCACUUUUGUGAUUGGUAUUUUAUUUUUAAUUUUUUAAGUGUUUUAUUUGUUUUUGAAAGAGAGACAGAGCGCAAGUAGGGGAGGGGCAGAGAGAGAGUGAGACACAGAACCCGAAGCAGGCUCCAGGCUCUGAACUGUCAGCACAGAGCCCAACGUGGGGCUUGAAUCCACGAACCGUGAGAUCAUGACCUGAGCUGAAGUUGGACGCUCAACCGACUGAGCCACCCAGGUGCCCCUCUCGGGGUGGACUAUUGGGAAAAAGGCAUCCCUGUCGACUGAUGUAGGCAAUGACCACAGCUUGGCAAGGAAGCAGGGCUGGGUUUGGACCCCUGCUUGUCUCUCGCUUUGGAACUUUUUAAAAAAGUGUUUUAAUUAUUUAUUUUUGAGAGAGAGAGAGAGAGAGAGAGAGCAAGCAGGGGAGAGGGGCAGAAAGAGAGGGAGACCGAGAAUCCAAAGCAGGCUCCAGGCUCCGACUCAAACCCAUGAACUGUGAGAUCAUGACCUGAGCUGAAGUCGGAUGUUUAACCGACUGAGCCACCCAGGCGCCCCACUAGCUUUGGAACUUUUAUGUGGCACACAUACUUCCCAAAUGACUGCCGUGCCUGACGGUGCCCUCUUACUGUGUUUGUAAAAAUAUUUUCUUCCUUCCCUCCCUUUUUUCUUUCCUUCUUUCCUUUUUGCUUUAGAAUAAAAAGCCUUACCUUUCUGGUCAUUAUAUUUCAUUUUAUAGUAUGUCUGUUUUUUAGCCGUUCAAGACAGUGGUUGGCCUUUCAUUUGCAUAUACUUGCAUCUCUUCUGCAUCUUGCUACCAGUAAACUUGAUAAACCUUCCUUUUUCUUUGUGCUUCUCAAUUUUCUGAUUCUGACCUUUCCCUCUUUCGAUGAUAUUUAAGUAAAUAUCUUUCAAGCUGAGAACUUAAAUUCUCUCUAACCUUAAGGUUCGAGAAAAUUGACUCUUUAUGAAAACUCCUGUCUGACUGGCUGCAGAGAUUAAUAGAAAAAUUUAAAAAAUGAAAAGAUCCAAGGUGGUAAGAGAUAAAAGUGUAACUUUCUUUAAAGUUUAUUUAUUUGAGAGAGAAAGAGAGAGGGUGAGAUAGAGUGGGGGAAAGAGUGGGAGGAGGGGCAGAGAGAGAGUGAGGGGGAGAGAGAAUCCCAAGCAGGCUCCACACUGUCAGCGCAGAGCCUGAUGCAGGGCUCGAUCUCACCAACCACGAGAUCGUGACCUGAGCUGAUAUCAGGAGUUGGACACGUAACCUACUGAGCCACCCAGGCACCCCACUCCUUAAACUCUUUAAGCUUGUUAACCAUCCAGUGUCUCUGCUCCCAGGGGAUGGCCUUGGUGGCGCCCGCUAAUAUUUGAGUGGGUGCUGGGGUGAGUUGGCAAACAGCCUGGAGGCCUGCAGGGAGCAGACACUGGGCUAGAUGCUCUGUCAUUUAAUGUUCGGGUCAAUCCUGGGAGAUAUCACUCCCAUGUUACAGAGAGGUAAACUGAGGCUCCAAGAGGGGUGUGAUCUGUCCAACUUCUAAGCGGCAGGUCUCCUGGUUCCCAGACAUGAGACCACUUUCACUCAUCGGAGUAUUUGGCCCAUUUAAGUUCACUUUUGUUUACUUUUGACCCGUUCUUGAGACUUUGAUGUGCCAAACUGGAAGGAAGUGCUCAUAUUGUCAACACAGUGACAGUAAAGUCAUCUAUCACUACCCCCAGCACUGCCCCCAGAUUCAGGACAGAGCUGUCUUUAUUUGUGACAGGUGAUGAUAUUUUGAGUACAGUAUGAAAUGAAGGGGGGAAAGAGCUUUCUGAGGGCGAAAGCUUGGAGAAGGCUGAAAAAUGUCUGGGAAGAUGGUGUAAAGGUUGGAUGGAGAUAAAGAUUGUAUUUUAUCUCUGGAGUUUUAAGGAAAUCUCUUCUCUUGAAGCGGGCUCAUUUGAGUCUGAUCCCACCAGCGAUGAGAUGAUGUAUUCUCAGAGUCUCACGAGCCCUAACUGCUCUUGAAGAUGAUUCUCCCCUAAUCUGUGAGAAAAAAGAACCAGGAUGGGGGCCGGACUCCAACACAAAGGCCAGACACUUUUUAGGAGUGUGGGAGGGGUGCUUCUUUUAUGUUUUUCUCUUUUAUGUCUAGGGAAUGAGGUUUUUCUAGUGACCUGGAGUGCCCUGCACAGAAUAGAUUGUCUCCUCAGUUUUAAGUUUUUCCUUAACUACCCUUCUGUCCUGCAGUUAUUAAUGUGACUCCAUCCAGCGUUCGCCAAAACUCAAAUUGAUUAUAAGCCAUUGACUGGGACCUUUCUGUCUGCCCUGCUCCCCUGGGAAUGUUGGCCAGCCAGAGGUUCAAAACCGAUAAGUGUGUUGGUGCUGAGUGGGUCAGCGAUUUUUUUUUUCUGGUGUGGACUCAAGGUCCUGGGUUCUCCUUCAGUCUUUUUGGGAUGUAGGAGGGAAGAACCAUCCUUAACCUUUGGGCUGAUGGUGCGACCUUUCCUCAACAGAGACUCAGUAAAACAGAAGACACUCUUCCAGCCAAGGUUGGAGGCUGGCUAGCCGUGUGGGACAAGAGGACAGCAGGAGAAGGGACAUGUGAAUUGGAUAAAUCUGUCAAAUUUCGGUAUUUCCAGUUUCCUAGCUGUUUGUUUCUUUGUUUGUUUUUAAUGUUUAUUUAUUUUUUAAUUUUUUUAAAUGUUUUUCUUUAUUUUUGAGACAGAGAGAGAGAGAGACAGAGCAGGAGCAGGGGAGGGGCAGAGAGAGAGGGAGACACAGAAUCCGAAGCAGGCUCCAGGCUCUGAGCCGUCAGCACAGAGCCCGAUGUGGGGCUCGAACUCACAGACUGUGAGAUCAUGACCUGAGCCAAAGUUGGAUGCCCAACAGACUGAGCCACCCAGGUGCCCCAGUGUUUAUUUAUUUUUGAGGGGGGGAGGGAGAGA